rnacentral:rRNA from 1 species
UACGGGGGGGGCAAGCGUUGUUCGGAAUUACUGGGCGUAAAGGGCUCGUAGGCGGCCAACUAAGUCGGACGUGAAAUCCCCAGGCUCAACCUGGGAACUGCGUCCGAUACUGGAUGGCUUGAAUCCGGGAGAGGGAUGCAGAAUUCCAGGUGUAGCGGUGAAAUGCGUAGAUAUCAAGAGGAACACCAGUGGCGAAGGCGAAUCCCUGGACAACACCUGACACUGAGGCACGAAAGCUAGGGGAGCAAACGGG